UUGUCUCUCUUUCACAUAGCAAGCACUCCCAGAGGAAAGCUACAGCAGUGAGGAUCACAGCGUCUUCUCGAUUGCUGGGAGGUCCUGCAUAGAGGAGGGAAACAGCGUGCAGGUCCUCAGUAUUGUCCUGGAUGAAAAGAAUCAGGACAUAGUGAGAUGUAUGGGUUGGAACCUGCUGCCUCCUCUGAUUCAGAUUUUGCUCAAGAAAGAAGACAAGAACCGUCCUCAUUGCCUGGCCAUUUUCAACCACCUGCUAGAGACCUGCAGACCCAAAGAGCUGCUGAUUGGCCUGUUGGAGCAGCUGGAGCAGGAUGACCCUGACACCAUAGCAGAGAGCCUUCAUCUACUGUUGAACCCUCUAC